CAUGUAGCCUGAAUUCACAACCAGAACAUGUCAAGUCAUUGAGAUAUUGUCCGUUGUGCUGAGAGAGCACCUUCCUGAUAACAAGUGUCUCUGUAUCUAUGUUCUAGGUUCAGUUGAUCUUUGGAUGUAAUAAUAUAUGGUCAAAGUCUAGUGACACAACACCAUAGUAUAUUAUAAACAUAACAGCAGUUGGCCAGUAAAGGCCAUGGAAUACUAUAAAACAGGGUUCGUUGAAGUCGGUGGGCCAGAACAUAAUUAGCAUAUUCAUGGGUUAAAACAGGUCGAUGUAGUCUACACUACUUUAUUAAUAGGUAAAACAAGUCUACGUAGCCUACUGUAGUUUACACUACUUUAUUAAUGGGUAAAACAGGUCUACGUAGCCUACUGUAGUCUACACUACUUUGUUAAUGGGGUAACACAGGUCUAUGUACCCUACUGUAGUCUACACUAAUUUAUUAAUGGCUAAAACAGGUCUAUGUAGCCUACUGUAGUCUACACUACUUUAUUAAUGGGGUAAAACAGGUCUAUGUAGCCUACUGUAGUCUACACUACUUUAUUAAUGGGGUAAAACAGGUCUUUGUAGCCUACUGUAGUCUACACUACUUUAUUAAUGGGGUAAAACAGGUCUUUGUAGCCUACUGUAGUCUACACUACUUUAUUAAUGUCAACAUUCAUUCAGAACAAUUAGCUUGAUAGAGAACAUGUCACUCUCAAAAAGUAGCAAAAGAAAGGUGGAUAAUGAAAAUCUAAGUUUCAGGGAAGAACGGACAGAGAUAUAUGCAUUCAUCUUACCAUCUUUCUCCAAUGCCCAGCCAAUGUGUCUCGUUUGCAAUGAAAAUGUCACUGUUUUCAAAGAAUUCAAUCUCAGUCGGCAUUAUGAAUCUUAAGCAUAGUACUUUCAAAGUGAACUUCCCGCCUCAGACAGAGGCCCGACGCAGAAAGAUUGAAGCAUUAACUACAAGCUACAAACACGGCAGUAGAAUCCUCCUUCAUGGCCUGACCUAACAACAGAAGGUUAAACACAACAUGCCCUUCACAGACACAGAUCUAUUUAAAAAAGUGCACGGUGACAGUUUUGGAGGAAUUGGAUAGCAUAAUUGCGUCUGUCAAAAAGGUGCCCCAGUCUGCGUCAACAGCCGGACGCCGUGCACAUAAUAAACUUUGUCAGGGGGACAUCAAGCAACACAACACCGUCUUUACUCAUUAGUAAUAUAUAUCUGCCUCAUUCUCAGAGAAAUCAGUAGUACUGCUAGGUUUUACACAGUAAUAAUAUAUAUCUGCCUCACUCUCAGAGAUUUCCCAGCUGAGAAAUAAAGUGUAUUUUUCCCAUUAAUUCCUUCGAUCUGUCUCAAACCUGCCCCAUCUAUCCCACUCCAAUUGCUGGACUUUCACAUAGUGGUUACUAGGUCACACAGUUCAAACCACAUUUGAAAAAUUAAACUAAUGUGGCUUGUUCAUCAAGUGUUCUGCCUUGAAUAAUAAAUAUAAUGAAAUAACAAAACAGAUUAAUCAAAAUGCUAUUUAGUACUAUUGUUGUAUUUACUAACAUAAUAUUAUUACUAAAAUUGUUUCUAAAAGUUUUCUAGGCUACCCUACCCGAGAAUUAGGUUUAAGACUAAAAUAGGUCAUAUGUAGGGUUAGAGCUUCUGUAGAGCACUUUGUGAAAUCUGCUGAUGUAAAAAGGGCAUUAUAAAUACAUUUUAUUGAUUGUUAUGUUUAGUGUUUUUAAGGCAAAAAUCAGUAUGGUGUAUAGCUCUCUUCCUCCUCCCUGUGGAUUUCUGUGGGUACUACAUAACUCAUUUGUGACACCGGCUAGGCUCAUAAUCUGAGGUAGCAACUGCAUCAUAUCUACAAAUCAAUGAGCUAGACACGUCCAUUUGGUUUGCAACUCCGUGAACCUGAUCAGCAUGCACUCAAUUCAAUGCCUACAAACAAAGAUUUCGAUGCAUGUCAAAUUACCCAGCAGCCAUUUGGAAACAACAAGUCAUCAAAAAAAGUGUUAUUUCUUAAUAAUUUGUUUUAUUCUGUCCGUUUAAAUUGGUCACAUCUUGAAAAAGAGGGCAGGGACAUGUGUUUUGUUUAGGUUGUAUACUUUUUCUGAUAACAAAUAUGCUUAACCAUGACCAGAAAAUGUUUCAUCAGUAUGUACCAGCCAUCACUAGCACUGUGGGUCACGACAAUAUGUACCCAGGUCAACAGCGAGAGUGCUCACUUAGCAUUAGCAGCAGCAAUAAUUUAGGUACACCUACAGUUAAUGCAGGUAGGUCUCAUUGAUAACAAUAGGAAAGCUGACAUUGUGAUGCAGAACAUUGGGAUGGGAAUAGAUUGUUCAGAAGGUGAGUUGUAUUUCAAGGCAGCAUGUUAUUCAGGUACAGAGCCCCACCUGUUAUUCAGGUAGAGAGCCCCACCUGUUAUUCAGGUACAGAGCCCCACCUGUUAUUCAGGUACAAAGCCUCAUCUGUUAUUCAGGUACAGAUUCAGCUACAGAGCCCCACCUGUUAUUCAGGUACAGAUUCAGCUACAGAGCCCCACCUGUUUAGCAUGUUAUUUUGGCAUUAAUACGUGGCAUGUAUCAGUUUGCAAAUAAUGUACAAAAAUAAUAAUAAUUUAGUUAAUAAGCCUCGUACAAAUAUGGUCUCUUUAGUGUUUUGGAUAUAAACUCUUCAUAAAAUCUUUAAAAAAUGGU